rnacentral:rRNA from 1 species
UACGUAGGCAGCGAGCGUUGUUCGGAGUUACUGGGCGUAAAGGGUGUGUAGGCGGUUGUUUAAGUUUGGUGUGAAAUCUCCCGGCUCAACUGGGAGGGUGCGCCGAAUACUGAAUGACUCGAGUGCGGGAGAGGAAAGUGGAGUUCCUGGUGUAGCGGUGAAAUGUGUAGAUAUCAGGAGGAACACCGGUGGUGUAGACGGCUUUCUGGACCGUAACUGACGCUGAGACACGAAAGCGUGGGUAGCAAACAGG